rnacentral:rRNA from 1 species
AUUGAACGCUGGCGGCAUGCCUUACACAUGCAAGUCGAACGGUAACAGGUCUUCGGAUGCUGACGAGUGGCGAACGGGUGAGUAAUACAUCGGAACGUGCCCGAUCGUGGGGGAUAACGCAGCGAAAGCUGUGCUAAUACCGCAUACGAUCUACGGAUGAAAGCGGGGGAUCGCAAGACCUCGCGCGGACGGAGCGGCCGAUGGCAGAUUAGGUAGNGGUGGGGUAAAGGCUCACCAAGCCUUCGAUCUGUAGCUGGUCUGAGAGGACGACCAGCCACACUGGGACUGAGACACGGCCCAGACUCCUACGGGAGG